rnacentral:lncRNA from 1 species
CGAGGCUCGGCUGAUCCCGCCAAAACAAAAGUCCUAAACUCAGCGAGUUUUAGUUUCUAGAAAUAGAAACUGAAAUAAUCAGAGCUGAGUUUCCACAUCGUUUCAGUGCAGAGACAAACAGAUGGACUCAACAUGUCUUCAGAUAAGAACACCGAAGUUUACAUCCCUAAGGACGCCUGUGUCAGAACUGUCCCCUUGCAAUGCCUUCCCUCAUCCAUCGCCAGGAAGAUAGACAAGCGACAUUUACUGACUAAAUCAAAGAGGUCAUCGCGUGACCCGUCUCAGACGACCACAUGGAUCUGUCCGGUGGAGCUGCGAGAAAAAGGAAUGUCCACCUGCCGAACAGCACAGACAUGCCGCUUUCUGACCCGGGGUCAGUUCCGGCUGCCGGUCGUCAGCUCCAACCCCAUGGCCUCAAGAAUCCUCCACAGGUUUCUGUCCCCAGGUGGACGCUUACCUCAGGCCGACGAUCCAGAUGCCCCAGCAGUGUGCAGCAGAGUGUCCAGCUACAGGCGGAAUGCCAUGGUGCUUUUCCGCGGUCAGAUAUUUCUCACAGUGAGGAAGAAAACGACAGCGGACGGCCAGGAGGAUCACAAAUAUGGAGCGUCCCACAAAACCACAGAAGAAGCAAAUGAAAAUACUCCAACAUGUGAAAAUGCACAGAUUAGAGAGGGCAUUCAGGGGAGGAUGAAUGAACAAGGUCAUGGCCAGGUAGAAUAUGGUGCUGAUGGUGCUGAAAGUGAGGAGGAACCAAUGAGAAGACAAGCUGGGUGUCCAGUAAGAGAGGAGUGUGGUAGAGAAGGUAAAGUAGAAGUUUUCAAUAAUGAUGAUGAGCCGAUGGAGAUUGCUGAGAAAGCGCCAGAUCCAAAGCAACAGGCUGCUGGAUGGCUGAUUGGAGAAGAUGGUGGUCAAAGAUCUGUGGAUUAUUCACAUGCUCAGAAGUUAAAAGCUGCUUGCACAAGUAUUAGCAUUAACAUUAGCAUUAGCGGUGAACUCCAGAACGGCGUAGAAGCAGGAGGAGCUCUGGAGAACAGAGGUGGUGCUGACGUUGUUGAUGGUGUCACUGCUGAAGAACGUCUGCCAGAUGAUCACAGUUUCCCUGCUGAAUCCCACAGAACUGUUUUUCCUAUUAUAACCAACAUCACGUCCCUUGCUGAAGGCUGGACCGGUUCUGCUGGGACCGUGAUUUAUGAAGAACAAACAGCGCUGGAGGAACAUCAGAACUUCCAGUCUUCAGAUGGACCUCAGCUCACAGGUACAGCUGAGGGUUCUGCUCAGACUCUUCCUCCAGAACCCAGUCUCCAGGAGAACCAAGCUAAUGGUGUUCUACCCAGCUUUAUGUUGCCUCCAGAAAAUCCCAGCCUCGACUUUGUUAUUCUAGAACGGGAGGAGCGGAUCCUACGCAUCCGGAACUCGUUAAGGAACCAGGUGGCUAAGCUAAACACCCUGAACAGCAAGCAGUGAAAUAUUGCUAAAGAAGAGAUGCAUAAAGCAUUAAAACAUCAAAACAGAACGUUGCCACUGAAUACAAUAGAUCUAGAAACAGUUCUAGAAAACAGCAAAGAAAAUGGUUCUACAGUGCUAGAGCACAUUUUCACCGUUCUAGAAAUGUGAAUAUAAAAAAAUGUCAGUAUAGAAUACUGUUCUAGAAAAUGUCAAUAUAGAAGAGUUCUACAGUUCUAGAACAUAUUUUUAGAAAAUGUCAAUAUAAAACACAUUUCUAAAAAAUGUCAAUAUAGAAUACUGUUCUAGAAAAUGUCAACAUGUAACAGUUCUACAGUUCUAGAACACAUUUCUAGAAAAUGUCAAUAUAGAAUACAUUUUUAGAAACUGUCAGUAUAGAAUACAGUUCUAGAAAAUGUCAAUAUAGAAGAGGUGUACAGUUCUAGAACAUAUUUUUAGAAAAUGUCAAUAUAAAACACAUUUCUAAAAAAAUGUCAAUAUAGAAAACAUUUCUAGAAAAUGUCAAUAAAAAACAUUUCUAAAAAAUGUCA